CUCAUUUCUAGGCUGACUUUGGUCAGUUCAGCCCCCCUCCCAUCCAAAGGAUGUCAUGCAGCCCUUGGCACAGCAGUCCUUUGUGCAGUCCCAUCUCCUGUGAACAGGUGUGGGUUGCUCCUAAGGAACGUGGACUAGCACCGCUUACGCACAGCUCCCAGCACAGUUUGCCCAGGGAGAUAAUUUGCAUAAUAGUAGAUCAGCACUCUCCUAGAUGUGGUUGUCUGGCAGCCUACAAUCUCUCUGCAACUGAGGGGGCCUGGUUCAAAUACCUGCAAGCAGAAUGGAUCAUGCAGAAGAGAUGGAAGAAAAAGCAAUGACAAUUUUCUAUGAGGCAUUUUCCAGUAGUAUUGCAGUCUGAGACCUGUGAAGCCAUCUACUGGUAAGUUUUUUUCUGCAGUAACCUUGUCUGUGCUAUUCUUGCUCUUUCAUAGUCUUACCGAAAUGCUAGGGAAAAAAUAAAGUCUUUCACAGUAGUAUUGUUGACUUAAAC
rnacentral:lncRNA from 1 species